rnacentral:rRNA from 1 species
GCGAACGCUGGCGGCAGGCCUAACACAUGCAAGUCGAACGGACCCUUCGGGGUUAGUGGCGGACGGGUGAGUAACACGUGGGAACGUGCCUUUAGGUUCGGAAUAGCUCCUGGAAACGGGUGGUAAUGCCGAAUGUGCCCUUCGGGGGAAAGAUUUAUCGCCUUUAGAGCGGCCCGCGUCUGAUUAGCUUGUUGGUGAGGUAAUGGCUCACCAAGGCUACGAUCAGUAGCUGGUCUGAGAGGAUGACCAGCCACAUUGGGACUGAGACACGGCCCAAACUCCUACGGGAGGCAGCAGUGGGGAAUCUUGCGCAAUGGGCGAAAGCCUGACGCAGCCAUGCCGCGUGGAUGAUGAAGGUCUUAGGAUUGUAAAAUCCUUUCACCGGUGAAGAUAAUGACUGUAGCCGGAGAAGAAGCCCCGGCUAACUUCGU